rnacentral:ncRNA from 2 species
CACUUCACCCUUUUGUUAGGUGUCUCAAGUCCUUUCAAGACUCGAGAUGAAACGGGAAACCGGUGAGAUUAUUCAAUUCCGGUGCUGCCCCCGCAACGGUAAGCGAGGUGCACUGCUCAAUGCCACUGUGUUCAUGAACAUGGGAAGGCUGUAGUGCAAACGUGUCCACACGACGCUCGCAAGCCCGGAGACCGGCCUGACUACAUUGUGGCAA